UACGUAGGGGGCAAGCGUUGUCCGGAUUAUUGGGCGUAAAGAGCGUGUAGGCGGCCAGACAGGUCCGUUGUGAAACUCGAGGCUCAACCUCGAGACGCCGAUGGAAACCGUCUGGCUAGAGUCCGGAAGAGGAGAGUGGAAUUCCUGGUGUAGCGGUGGAAUGCGCAGAUAUCAGGAGGAACACCCAUAGCGAAGGCAGCUUGCUGGGACGUUACUGACGCUAAGGCGCGAAAGCGUGGGAGCGAACAGG
rnacentral:rRNA from 1 species